rnacentral:rRNA from 1 species
GAUGAACGCUGGCGGCGUGCCUAAUACAUGCAAGUCGAGCGAACAGACGAGGAGCUUGCUCCUCUGACGUUAGCGGCGGACGGGUGAGUAACACGUGGAUAACCUACCAAUAAGACUGGGAUAACUUCGGGAAACCGGAGCUAAUACCGGAUAAUAUAUUGAACCGCAUGGUUCAAUAGUGAAAGACGGUUUUGCUGUCACUUAUAGAUGGAUCCGCGCCGCAUUAGCUAGUUGGUAAGGUAACGGCUUACCAAGGCAACGAUGCGUAGCCGACCUGAGAGGGUGAUCGGCCACACUGGAACUGAGACACGGUCCAGACUCCUACGGGAGGCAGCAGUAGGGAAUCUUCCGCAAUGGGCGAAAGCCUGACGGAGCAACGCCGCGUGAGUGAUGAAGGUCUUCGGAUCGUAAAACUCUGUUAUUAGGGAAGAACAAAUGUGUAAGUAACUAUGCACGUCUUGACGGUACCUAAUCAGAAAGCCACGGCUAACUACGU